CAUGCACUAAUGGGGUCCCUCGGCCUAGCCUGCGGGAUUGGGCCGAAACUGGUUCUCUGAUAUCCCCUGAGGGGUCCGAGAGGGCGCAGGCCAGGCUGAGGGACCCCACUGGUGCACG
rnacentral:pre_miRNA from 1 species